GCUGGGGUGCAGGUCGUGAUGGUGCACAAGGUAGUGGUGGCAGUAGUUGGUCAAGAACUUCAAGAAGCAGCGGGAAUGAUUGGCUGAUCAAUGAUAGAAGAUCUUCACGCUCACCAUCUUAUGGAGAUAGCGACAGGAGCUUUGGGGGUGCGUGUUUUACCUGCGGACAGUUUGGGCAUAGGGCAUCAGAAUGCCCCAAGAAGCUAGGUUUUUAGAUAUUGAUAUGACAAUCCUGUUGCUGCUGGCUUGUGAAUUGGCGAAAGGCUACCGCUACUUCAUUACCAUUAUUUCUGUCUCCUAUAUCGUUAUUCGCCUGAAGAUGAUCAAGAGGUCCAAAAAGCUGAUAAAAUUAAUGCUGGACAAUAUUAGGGACUGUGAUGCAGCUUCACUGUUCUCUGCUUCAGUCCUCCGUCCUCCAAACAUACAGCAGUCAAACUACAUAGCAUACGGGUUUAAUGUGAUUUUGCUUUGCUGAUUUUGUCAUAUUUAGUGUUAACCUUCGUAUAAACUAAACUUGAUUGCCGAGGCAAUAGUAUGUUUACAAAUUUUGUUGUUUGCUUUUCUACUCCCUGUACGUAAGAAACUUUAGAUUGAAUAGAUUAGGUAUUUGAUCUUUUACAUGUGCUUGUGGCUAGAUAUAGACCGAUAAGUUUCUUUAGGUUUCAA